GCUCCUGCCUCCAAAUUGAGAGCGCAUCGCGCCUGGCUCCCAUUUAAAUGCCUGCCAGCUGAGAGCGGCUCUCCAGAUCAUUGGCCAGAGGAGGCCUCCCAAUCCGCCCCCUAAACGCUUCCACCAGCCACCGCCAGGGAGAACUCGCAGUCCCCAAGAUGCCCACGCUCUCGGCUGCUCCCGGAACCUCUCGUCGUCCAGGAGCUAGAGCUGGGCAAAGAAGCCGAGCGCCCACGUGGGCGAGGAGCGCCCCGAAAAAUCUCAACUGCAAAAGAGAUGGAACACAUUACUGAUUCUGGAUUCCCAAAACGUGGCAAUUUUGGUGUCAAGCACUGAAAGUUCUUGAAGAAGCAACUACAUUGUGAGGGGCCGGGAUUCUUCCCAGGGAAGGAUCAAGAAGUAAAAACAUCCUUACCCAGAUCCCAUACUUUCUGGUGGCUGCAGAGGCUCUGAUGUACGGCCCCCUCCACUGAAGUGGAUGGAGAAGCUCACUCCUUAAAACAACUUUGUAUGUACCUGAUGUUUUAAAUAUGUGUUUUCCACUUGGAGCACACAUAGACUUCUGCAGUAGUGUGAUAAGGUAUAUUCAAAGUUCUCAGUUAAAUUGAUAUGGAACUCAUAAGUGUUUUUAAGUUUUUAAAAGUGGUUUUAUUUUGUACAUACUAGGUGAAAGCUGCAAAUUAUCUAUCUUAUGUAUGCAAGAUGAAUAUUAUUUGCUAUUCAUAUAUAAUAAUUUGAGAUUAAAAUAAAGCGUCAGUCCUGCA